rnacentral:rRNA from 1 species
UACGGGGGGGGCAAGCGUUGUUCGGAAUUACUGGGCGUAAAGGGCUCGUAGGUGGCCAACUAAGUCAGACGUGAAAUCCCUCAGCUUAACUGGGGAACUGCGUCUGAUACUGGAUGGCUUGAGUUUGGGAGAGGGAUGCGGAAUUCCAGGUGUAGCGGUGAAAUGCGUAGAUAUCUGGAGGAACACCAGUAGCGAAGGCGGCACUCUGGGCCGGUACUGACGCUGAGGAGCGAAAGCGUGGGGAGCAAACAGG